UAAGUGUAUUCGGGUGAUUUUUAUUGAUAUGGGGAAAAAUUUUCCAUAAAUGAUGCCAGAGCAUUCCUUAAAAUUAUGCCAUUUGGUUGUGUUUUAUUAAUGUAAAUCCCGCUGCAAGUAGGAUGUUUUUGAUUACAUGAAUGAAAAACCUAAUCAUUUCUAGUGGUCAGAAUUUCUCAUUUAAUUUAUCAAGAUCAAUAAAAUGUCGUAAAUCCGACCAUAAUUUUUCAGUUCAAUGAUUUAUAAAAAAUAAUGUAAAGCUAAGCUAUGAAAAUUACAUUACAUUCGACCGCUGCUUUAAAUAUUUCUUUUCCACAAAAAACUCCAGGCGUUGAUUUAUUUAUUCAGGCGGAAGUUAUGCUUAGUUAAAAGUUUCAGUUUAGUUUUCAUUCAUUACGCAACACAAACUGAAAGCUUUGAUAACAUUGUCGACGCUGGUGAUUGGCAUGAAUUCUUCAACCAUUUAAGAAACGCUUACUGCCGUGCAACGGAAAUAUAAAUUACUUCUCGUCUAUGAACUUUUUUUCUUAGAUGAAAUGUGUUGGACUGAAUGUCUCAAAGAAAUGAUCGAUAAUUGGCGUAAAAGUAUACUUUUCACAAAAAAUUUACUAAUUUUUGUUGUAUCAGUCAUUAUAGCUAAUGCCAAUAACCAUGAAACGAUUCCACUGGAAGAUUUUCUCUGUCACGUGGGUUUCUUGUUUGUGACCGUUUCACUUGAUAUUUUUCCUCUUCUUCCUUUUCAAGAGCAUAAGUCUCGUUCUAAAAAAAUUAGCUUAAUGAUGAAUAGUUUUGAAAUUGUGUAUAGUGUAAUUUGCUGUAUAUAUCGUUCACACUGAAACUGAACAAUAAAUGUAGGAUUUUAUUUC